ensembl:lncRNA
GGGCUCCCUAAUUUGCAUUUUUAACAAGUUUCUAGCUGAUGCUGGUCAGGAGCACCACACUUUAAGAAUCAGAGGAGUAGAGGAACGCUCUUGUUUUUAUUAGGUCUGAAAAAUUUCAACUUUGGACAGAAGUCAGGACUAAAUGUAAGUUGUCUCAGUUCUCAACCAAAGCUGAUUCUGCCUGCAGGGGCCAUUCGGCAAGGUCUAGAAACAUUUUUGAUUGUCUUGGAAUCAGGAUGUGUUGCUCCCUGCCUCUAGUUUUGAUUUUUUUGGAUCUGAACCCACCCCUGCUGCACUAGGAGGCAAGGUCCCAAGCACUGGACUGCCAGGGAAGUCCAGAGAAACCCUGCUCUAAGUGAUCCAACUGGGCAAGACUUGGAUUUGUAUAAAAGUGGUGGACGUUGGAAUAUACCUCAGGAGAUGAUUGAUGUUGACUUUUCAUUUCCUGGAAGGAAAAGAUCCUCAAAAACUACCUAACAUUCUCUGAAGCUAGAUUCUGCUCCUUGCUCCUGGAUCUCACUCAAGGAUGAGCAAGACAGUUACGCCUCUCAGGAAGCUUGCAGAUUUCAGAUCCCAGGGCAGCCGCCCAACAAAGCACCAGAGCUUGGCUCCCAGCGGGGCAUAUUCCCAGAGCAGCAUCCAUCCGGGAUCCGCAUCCGGCAGGCCUUGCUCUGCUCUGCAUCCUCGCUUAGGAUGGCAUAGGAAUACUGGAAUGGGGGAGACGGUGAUGUGUGUAUUCUGAAGAAGUUUCUCAAGUAAUUCUGAUGCCCCUCUCCAUCUGCAUUUCUCACCCCAGGAUCACCCUCAAAGGAGAUCCUGCAUCUUCUUGUGUCUUUUGUUCAGUUCAGUUCAGUUCAGUUCAGUUGCUCAGUCAUGUCCGACUCUUUGCGACCCCAUGAAUUGCAGCAUGCCAGGCCUCCCUGUCCAUCACCAACUCCCAGAGUUCACUCAGAC